UACGUAGGGGGCAAGCGUUGUCCGGAAUUAUUGGGCGUAAAGCGUGCGCAGGCGGUUUGUUAAGUCUGCUGUGAAAUCCCCGAGCUCAACUUGGGAAUUGCAAUGGAUACUGGCAGGCUGGAGUAUGGUAGAGGAAGGUGGAAUUCCCGGUGUAGCAGUGAAAUGCGUAGAGAUCGGGAGGAACACCAGUGGCGAAGGCGGCCUUCUGGACCAAUACUGACGCUCAUGCACGAAAGCGUGGGGAGCAAACAGG
rnacentral:rRNA from 1 species